rnacentral:lncRNA from 1 species
AGGUAAACUCGGAUUUUCAAACAAACAAAAAGAACAGAAAAUGAUAAAUUAUCUGGAUAAGUUAAAGACUAUUUUUUCUCUUAAUUAAAAAAAUAAAUGAGCCAAAUCCUACUUUGUCAAAAAAAGUAGACAAACACUAGCUAACUGAAAGAGUCCGCUGAAAGCCUUGCCCUGGCUCCACGGGCUUCAGCCCUUUGAACAGAAGAGGGCGCCCUAAACAUGGUGAUUCCUUCCUUUCCCACGGUAUUCCCUGCCACUUUUCACUACUUAAAAUUUUAGAAUUCCCUCAAAAUGAUGGGCAUCAAGCCUCCUGUACUUCAUGGAUAAUUAAUUGAUGUGCAAGUUUGUGGGGUUUUUUUGCCAGGGAACAGAUUUUUUUCAGGACUGUGUCUUUUUUUUUUUUUAAGAAACAGGAAGGUUAUCUUGGAUUAUGACUAAUUAGAUUAAUUUUAAAA